UACGUAGGUACCAAGCGUUGUUCGGAUUUACUGGGCGUAAAGGGCGCGUAGGCGGCGUGGUAAGUCACUUGUGAAAUCUCUGAGCUUAACUCAGAACGGCCAAGUGAUACUGCUGUGCUAGAGUGCAGAAGGGGCAAUCGGAAUUCUUGGUGUAGCGGUGAAAUGCGUAGAUAUCAAGAGGAACACCUGAGGUGAAGACGGGUUGCUGGGCUGACACUGACGCUGAGGCGCGAAAGCCAGGGGAGCAAACGGG
rnacentral:rRNA from 1 species